rnacentral:tRNA from 1 species
UCAAAGCAUUUCGCUUACACCGAAAAAAUAUCUGUGAAAACCCGAUCGUUUCG